rnacentral:rRNA from 1 species
CGCUGGCGGCGUGCUUAACACAUGCAAGUCGAACGAUGAAGCCCAGCUUGCUGGGUGGAUUAGUGGCGAACGGGUGAGUAACACGUGAGUAACCUGCCCUUGACUCUGGGAUAAGCGCUGGAAACGGCGUCUAAUACCGGAUACGACCUGCCCCGGCAUCGGGUGCGGGUGGAAAGUUUUUCGGUCAAGGACGGACUCGCGGCCUAUCAGCUAGUUGGUGAGGCAAUGGCUCACCAAGGCGACGACGGGUAGCCGGCCUGAGAGGGUGACCGGCCACACUGGGACUGAGACACGGCCCAGACUCCUACGGGAGGCAGCAGUGGGGAAUAUUGCACAAUGGGCGAAAGCCUGAUGCAGCAACGCCGCGUGGGGGAUGACGGCCUUCGGGUUGUAAACCUCUUUUAGUAGGGAAGAAGGGCUUCGGCUUGACGGUACCUGCAGAAAAAGCACCGGCUAACUACGUGCCAGCAGCCGCGGUAAUACGUAGGGUGCAAGCGUUGUCCGGAAUUAUUGGGCGUAAAGAGCUCGUAGGCGGUUUGUCGCGUCUGCUGUGAAAACCCGAGGCUCAACCUCGGGCCUGCAGUGGGUACGGGCAGACUAGAGUGCGGUAGGGGAGAAUGGAAUUCCUGGUGUAGCGGUGGAAUGCGCAGAUAUCAGGAGGAACACCGAUGGCGAAGGCAGUUCUCUGGGCCGUUACUGACGCUGAGGAGCGAAAGCGUGGGGAGCGAACAGGAUUAGAUACCCUGGUAGUCCACGCCGUAAACGUUGGGAACUAGAUGUGGGGACCUUUCCACGGUCUCCGUGUCGCAGCUAACGCAUUAAGUUCCCCGCCUGGGGAGUACGGCCGCAAGGCUAAAACUCAAAGGAAUUGACGGGGGCCCGCACAAGCGGCGGAGCAUGCGGAUUAAUUCGAUGCAACGCGAAGAACCUUACCAAGGCUUGACAUAUACCGGAAACUUCCAGAAAUGGUUGCCCCGCAAGGUCGGUAUACAGGUGGUGCAUGGUUGUCGUCAGCUCGUGUCGUGAGAUGUUGGGUUAAGUCCCGCAACGAGCGCAACCCUCGUUCUAUGUUGCCAGCACGUCAUGGUGGGAACUCAUAGGAGACUGCCGGGGUCAACUCGGAGGAAGGUGGGGAUGACGUCAAAUCAUCAUGCCCCUUAUGUCUUGGGCUUCACGCAUGCUACAAUGGCCGGUACAAAGGGCUGCGAUACCGUAAGGUGGAGCGAAUCCCAAAAAGCCGGUCUCAGUUCGGAUUGAGGUCUGCAACUCGACCUCAUGAAGUCGGAGUCGCUAGUAAUCGCAGAUCAGCAACGCUGCGGUGAAUACGUUCCCGGGCCU